rnacentral:tRNA from 1 species
GGAGAGAUGUCCGAGAGGUCGAAGGUGCUUGACUCGAAAUCAAGUGCACGGGUCAUACCGUGCCGAGGGUUCGAAUCCCUCUCUCUCCG